rnacentral:ncRNA from 1 species
GCAGAGUAGCAAAAACGCGUUAAGUGUUGCAAAAUGGGAUGUUGUUUGCAAACGAAAGCGAAAGCUGCGGUGUUUUUGCGCGUCCGUUG